rnacentral:rRNA from 1 species
UACGUAGGGGGCUAGCGUUGUCCGGAUUUAUUGGGCGUAAAGAGCGUGUAGGCGGCCAGAUAGGUCUGCUGUGAAAACUCGAGGCUCAACCUCGAGAUGUCGGCGGAAACCAUUUGGCUAGAGUCCGGAAGAGGAAAGUGGAAUUCCUGGUGUAGCGGUGAAAUGCGCAGAUAUCGGGAGGAACACCAAUGGCGAAGGCAGCUCGCUGGGACGGUACUGACGCUGAGACGCGAAAGCGUGGGAGCAACAGG